GAAGGUAUAGCUCAAGCGGUAGAGAAUGUCCUUAGCAUGUAUGAGGUCCUGGGUUCAAUCCCCAGUACCUCCA
rnacentral:tRNA from 1 species